UAUUAGUAUGCAAGAACAAAAAGUUUUUUCUAAUAUGAUAAUUCAUUUUAAAAUGUUUCAUAUAUGGAGAAAUACUCUUGAACUCAAUUGGUUGAAUUUCAGACAAACUGUUCCAUCUCCAGAUUGGAGAACCAAGGGCACAACCCCCAUGGGAUUGGCAACUGAGAGCUGCAGGAGUGAUAUCCCUAGUUUUAGAAAAAAUUAUUUUUUUCUAAUUCUUUGAUCAUUCAAAUAUAAUAAAUUAUUCAAAGAUAAAUUAAAAGUAUUUUUCAAUCUGAUUUUAAUCUUUUAAUAUAUUUUUAUGUAGAAAAUUUACUAUAUAUUUUUAAAGGCUUUAAAAUAAGUUGAAAUACACAUAAAAUUAAUAAUUUUACUGCAAUUCUUUUUUCCUGCUAUGUUUUAUUUGAUUGAGAA
rnacentral:lncRNA from 1 species